CAGUCGCCGCGGUAAUACGGAGGGAGCUAGCGUUAUUCGGAAUUACUGGGCGUAAAGCGCACGUAGGCGGCUUUGUAAGUUAGAGGUGAAAGCCUGGAGCUCAACUCCAGAAUUGCCUUUAAGACUGCAUCGCUUGAAUCCAGGAGAGGUGAGUGGAAUUCCGAGUGUAGAGGUGAAAUUCGUAGAUAUUCGGAAGAACACCAGUGGCGAAGGCGGCCCGCUGGACAUGUAUUGACGCUGAGGUGCGAAAGCGUGGGGAGCAAACAGGAUUAGAUACCCCCGUAGUCCCUGUCUCUUAUAC
rnacentral:rRNA from 1 species